UACGGGGGGGCAAGCGUUGUUCGGAAUUACUGGGCGUAAAGGGCUCGUAGGUGGCCAACUAAGUCAGACGUGAAAUCCCUCGGCUUAACCGGGGAACUGCGUCUGAUACUGGAUGGCUUGAGAUUGGGAGAGGGAUGCGGAAUUCCAGGUGUAGCGGUGAAAUGCGUAGAUAUCUGGAGGAACACCGGUGGCGAAGGCGGCAUCCUGGACCAACACUGACACUGAGGAGCGAAAGCCAGGGGAGCGAAACGGG
rnacentral:rRNA from 1 species